rnacentral:lncRNA from 1 species
GGAUCGAUCGAUUAAUUCAUAUGACUGAUGUUGGGUUUGACGAGUUCACCUUAACCCUAAUUCAGUCGGAACUCAUGAUAGAGGAACUCAAUCACACAGAUAGCUGCACUGAGAGGUUCAUCUUCAGUUCUGAUGGGUUGCCACCAUAUACUACUAGGUGUCACUGAUGGAUUUUGAGAGCAAUUAGAAUGAUAUUGAUGAUCGAUCAUUCUAAUUGUCUGAAUCAGAAGA